rnacentral:tRNA from 1 species
GUCCAAGAUAGUUUAAAAAAAACAAUGAUCUUGUAAAUCAUAAUUUAAAGCAAAUUAUUAUCUGGGCU